rnacentral:miRNA from 1 species
GCGUCAUGCGUGCUUGCUGGCGUGUGUGUGUGUGUGUGUGUGUGUGUGUGUGUGUGUGCAAACUCCCCUCACGCACACCCAGCACACAC